CACGGGAGACACACGGCGGGUGCUAACGUCCGUCGUGAAGAGGGAAACAACCCAGACCGCCAGCUAAGGUCCCAAAGUCAUGGUUAAGUGGGAAACGAUGUGGGAAGGCCCAGACAGCCAGGAUGUUGGCUUAGAAGCAGCCAUCAUUUAAAGAAAGCGUAAUAGCUCACUGGUCGAGUCGGCCUGCGCGGAAGAUGUAACGGGGCUAAACCAUGCACCGAAGCUGCGGCAGCGACGCUGAUGCGUUGUUGGGUAGGGGAGCGUUCUGUAAGCCUGCGAAGGUGACCUGUGAGGGUUGCUGGAGGUAUCAGAAGUGCGAAUGCUGACAUAAGUAACGAUAAAGCGGGUGAAAAGCCCGCUCGCCGGAAGACCAAGGGUUCCUGUCCAACGUUAAUCGGGGCAGGGUGAGUCGACCCCUAAGGCGAGGCCGAAAGGCGUAGUCGAUGGGAAACGGGUUAAUAUUCCCGUACUUGGUGUUACUGCGAAGGGGGGACGGAGAAGGCUAUGUUGGCCGGGCGACGGUUGUCCCGGUUUAAGCGUGUAGGUGUGUGUUCCAGGUAAAUCCGGUUCACUUUAACACUGAGGCGUGACGACGAGGCACUACGGUGCUGAAGCAACAAAUGCCCUGCUUCCAGGAAAAGCCUCUAAGCAUCAGGUAACAUCAAAUCGUACCCCAAACCGACACAGGUGGUCAGGUAGAGAAUACCAAGGCGCUUGAGAGAACUCGGGUGAAGGAACUAGGCAAAAUGGUGCCGUAACUUCGGGAGAAGGCACGCUGACACGUAGGUGAAGUGAUUUACUCAUGGAGCUGAAGUCAGUCGAAGAUACCAGCUGGCUGCAACUGUUUAUUAAAAACACAGCACUGUGCAAACACGAAAGUGGACGUAUACGGUGUGACGCCUGCCCGGUGCCGGAAGGUUAAUUGAUGGGGUCAGCGUAAGCGAAGCUCCUGAUCGAAGCCCCGGUAAACGGCGGCCGUAACUAUAACGGUCCUAAGGUAGCGAAAUUCCUUGUCGGGUAAGUUCCGACCUGCACGAAUGGCGUAAUGAUGGCCAGGCUGUCUCCACCCGAGACUCAGUGAAAUUGAACUCGCUGUGAAGAUGCAGUGUACCCGCGGCAAGACGGAAAGACCCCGUGAACCUUUACUAUAGCUUGACACUGAACAUUGAGCCUUGAUGUGUAGGAU
rnacentral:rRNA from 1 species